ensembl:snoRNA SNORA72 Small nucleolar RNA SNORA72
CUGCGAAUAUUCUCACUGUUCUGAUUCUGUGAUAAUCAGGACAGGCUAGACAUUCGCUAUAGUUAAGACCAUGCAUGUGUCCCCAGACCUAGUUCUUUACCUAGGUCUGGUUUUUUAAAUGCUGGUGACAAGC